CGGCCUUUGGGGUUGUAAACCUUUUAUAAGCAGGGAAGAAGCAAAAGUGACGGUACCUGCAGAAAAAGCGCGGGCAAAUUACGUGCCAGCAGCCGCGGUAAUACGUAGGGCGCAAGCGUUAUCCGGAAUUAUUGGGCGUAAAGAGCUCGUAGGCGGUCUGUCGCGUCUGCUGUGAAAUCCGGAGGCUCAACCUCCGGCCUGCAGUGGGUACGGGCAGACUAGAGUGCGGUAGGGGAGAUUGGAAUUCCUGGUGUAGCGGUGGAAUGCGCAGAUAUCAGGAGGAACACCGAUGGCGAAGGCAGAUCUCUGGGCCGUAACUGACGCUGAGGAGCGAAAGGGUGGGGAGCAAACAGGCUUAGAUACCCUGGUAGUCCACCCCGUAAACGUUGGGAACUAGUUGUGGGGUCCAUUCCACGGAUUCCGUGACGCAGCUAACGCAUUAAGUUCCCCGCCUGGGGAGUACGGCCGCAAGGCUAAAACUCAAAGGAAUUGACGGGGACCCGCACAAGCGGCGGAGCAUGCGGAUUAAUUCGAUGCAACGCGAAGAACCUUACCAAGGCUUGACAUAUACGAGAACGGGCCAGAAAUGGUCAACUCUUUGGACACUCGUAAACAGGUGGUGCAUGGUUGUCGUCAGCUCGUGUCGUGAGAUGUUGGGUUAAGUCCCGCAACGAGCGCAACCCUCGUUCUAUGUUGCCAGCACGUAAUGGUGGGAACUCAUGGGAUACUGCCGGGGUCAACUCGGAGGAAGGUGGGGAUGACG
rnacentral:rRNA from 1 species